CGAACGGGUGUGUAACACGUGGGCAACCUGCCCAAAAGAGGGGGAUAACACUUGGAAACAGGUGCUAAUACCGCAUAACCAUAGUUACCGCAUGGUAACUAUGUAAAAGGUGGCUAUGCUACCGCUUUUGGAUGGGCCCGCGACGCAUUAGCUAGUUGGUGGGGUAAAGGCUUACCAAGGCAAUGAUGCGUAGCCGAACUGAGAGGUUGAUCGGCCACAUUGGGACUGAGACACGGCCCAAACUCCUACGGGAGGCAGCAG
rnacentral:rRNA from 1 species